GGUCAAAUGAACGAAGGCUGACGGUGGAGACCUAGGCACCCAGAGACGACGAAGGGCGCAGAUACCGGCGAAACGCUCCGGGGAGCUGGCAACGAGCUUUGAUCCGGAGAUCCCCGAAUAGGGCAACCUAUAUUACUCCCUAUAGAAUUCAUAGAUAGGAAAGAGACAACCCGGUGAAUUGAAACAUCUUAGUAGCCGGAGGAAAAGAAAGCAAACGCGAUUCCCAUAGUAGCGGCGAGCGAACCGGGAACAGCCUAAACCGAGAAAUCGGGGUUGUGGGAAGACAAGAAAACAGAACUUUAGUUCUCGUUUAAUUAUAAGAGGAUUUUAAUUCUCGAGCGAAGCGAGAGGACUUUAGUUCUACCGUUAGGUAGGAGCGGAGCUCUCAUGCGUAGCAUGAGGACCGUAGGUCUUAAUUGACGAAGUCAAUUAAGGAUUUUAAUUCUCGAGCAAAGCGAGAGGGAAAAAACAAAAAAGACGAAGCAGCUGAAUCCUGCACCAUAGAUGGUGAAAGUCCAGUAGUCUUUUAAUUUGAUUUAUCAAAGAAAUUUGAUAGCAGAAUCUAAAGAUCCUGAAAAUAAACACCAAAGUUAACACCAAAGUUAACAAAAGAGUCUUAUCCCGAGUAGCAUGGGGCACGUGGAAUCCCGUGUGAAUCCGCGAGGACCACCUCGCAAGGCUAAAUACUCCUGGGUGACCGAUAGCGAAAAAGUACCGUGAGGGAAAGGUGAAAAGAACCCCCGGUGGGGAGUGAAAUAGAACACGAAACCGUCAGCUGACAAGCAGUGGGAGGGCUAGAGACCUGACCGCGUGCCUGUUGAAGAAUGAGCCGGCGACUUAUAGGGAGUGGCAGGGUUAAGGAGUUUUUUCCGGAGCCAAAGCGAAAGCAAGUCUGAAUAGGGCGUGUUAGAGUCACUUCUUAUGGACCCGAACCCGUAUGAUCUAACCAUGGCCAGGUUGAAACUUGGGUAACGCUAAGUGGAGGACUGAACUGACUGAUGUUGAAAAAUCAGCGGAUGAGCUGUGGUUAGGGGAGAAAUUCCAAUCGAAUACGGAGCUAGCUGGAUCUCCCCGAAAUGCGUUGAGGCGCAGCGGUGACGAAGAGCUGUCGAGUGGUAAAGCACUGUUUAGACGCGGGCUGCGAAAGCGGUACCAAGUCUUGGCAAACUCAGAAUACUCGGCAAGCCUGCCGUCAACCAGUGAGACAGUGAGGGAUAAGCUACAUUGUCAAGAGGGAAACAGCCCAGAUCACCAGCUAAGGCCCCCAAAUGACCGCUAAGUGGAAAAGGAUGUGAGAAUGCUGAAACAACCAGGAGGUUUGCUUAGAAGCAGCAACGCCUUCAAAGAGUGCGUAAUAGCUCACUGGUAAAGCGUUUUUGCGCCGACAAUGGCCGGGACUAAGCGGUCUGCCGAAGCUGUGGGAUUUUCUUUUUUAUAAAACUUGUAAAUAAGAAAAUCGGUAGGGGAGCGUACUGCUUCGGGUGAAGCUCUCGACGAGAGUGGGAGUGGACGGAGCAGUAGUGAGAAUGUUGGCUUGAGUAACGAAAACAUUGGUGAGAAUCCAAUGCCCCGAAAACCUAAGGGUUCCUCCACAAGGUUCGUCCAUGGGGGGUUAGUCAGAUCCUAAGGCUAGGUCGACCCUUGAUAGGGCGGCGUCGUCGAUGGAAAACAGGUUAAUAUUCCUGUACUGAUUCUCACGGGACCCGAGGGACGAAGGAGGCUAAGCUGGGUCUGUCUAUGGAAUGCAGUGGAAGCGCUCGAGGCUAUACAGGUAGAAUAAAAACUAUCUGUCCUUUAUCUUCGUAUAAAAAAGCUGAGACGUUAUCCCGUCUAAUUACCAUCAGGUGAUUGGGCGCCAGCGACGUCAAACUUCCAAGAAAACCUCGAACUCCUCUCUUUUUAGAGAUAAAACGUGAAAAUCAUCUGUACCUGAAACCGACACAGGUAGGUAGGUAUAAAAGUACCAAGGGGCGCGAGAGAACUCUCUCUAAGGAACUCGGCAAAUUGACCCCGUAACUUCGGGAGAAGGGGUGUCUUUACUUGACGGUAAAGAUCGCAGAGCAUCAGACCAGGCAACUGUUUAUCAAAAACACAGGUCUCCGCAAAGUCGUAAGACAAUAUAUGGGGGCUGACGCCUGCCCAGUGCCGGAAGGUGAAGGAAGUUGGUUAUGUCACCAGAAGCUGACGACCGAAGCCCCGGUGAACGGCGGCCGUAACUAUGACGGUCCUAAGGUAGCGAAAUUCAUUGCCAGGUAAAUUCUGGCCUGCACGAAAGGCGUAAUGAUCUGGUCACUGUCUCGGAGAGAGGCUCGGUGAAAUAGACUUGUCCGUGAAGAUGCGGACUUCCUACAUUUGGACAGAAAGACCCUAUGAAGCUUGACUGUACCCUGGAAUGGGGUUCGGGCUCUUUUUGCGCAGCCUAGGUGGGAGGCUUUGAAGGUUCCCUUCCGGGGGGACUGGAGCCAUCAUUGAGAGACCACUCUGGAAGAGCUAGAAUCCUAAUAGGGAUCCUUGAAUCAGGACCCUUGACAGUUUCAGGCGGGCAGUUUAUUUGGGGCGAAUGCCUCCUAAAAGGUAACGGAGGCGUGCAAAGGUUCCCUCAGUCUGGACGGAAAUCAGACGUGGAGUGUAAAGGCAAAAGGGAGCUUGACUGCAAGACCUACAAGUCGAACAGGAGCGAAAGCUGGCCUUAGUGAUCCGACGGUGCCGAGUGGAAGGGCCGUCGCUCAACGGAUAAAAGUUACUCUAGGGAUAACAGGCUAAUCUUGGCCAAGAGUUCAUAUCGACGCCAAGGUUUGGCACCUCGAUGUCGGCUCAUCACAUCCUGGGGCUGUAGUAGGUCCCAAGGGUUGGGCUGUUCGCCCAUUAAAGUGGUACGUGAGCUGGGUUCAGAACGUCGUGAGACAGUUCGGUCCAUAUCCGAUGUAGGCGUUAGAGCGUUGAUGGGAUCCUUCAUUAGUACGAGAGGACCUUGAAGGACGUGCCUAUGGUGUACCAGUUAUCCUUCCAAGGGUAAACGCUGGGUAGCUACGCACGGAGCGGAUAACCGCUGAAAGCAUCUAAGUGGGAAGCCCACCCAGAGAUGAACGCUCUCCAUAGGCCGCGGGAAGACAACCCGUUCGAUAGGUGUCCUGUGUAAGAUCAGUAAUGGUUUAAGCUGAGGCAUACUAAAGGCCGAUUGAUUUUGAC
rnacentral:rRNA from 1 species